rnacentral:rRNA from 1 species
GAGGGGGGCGAGCGUUGUUCGGAAUUAUUGGGCGUAAAGGGUGCGUAGGCGGUUUGGUAAGUCUUGUGUGAAAUCUCCAGGCUCAACUUGGAGUCUGCACGAGAAACUGCCGGGCUUGAGUGUGGGAGAGGUGAGUGGAAUUCCUGGUGUAGCGGUGAAAUGCGUAGAUAUCAGGAGGAACACCUGUGGCGAAAGCGGCUCACUGGACCACAACUGACGCUGAUGCACGAAAGCUAAGGGAGCAAACAGGAUUAGAUACCCUGGUAGUCCUAGCCCUAAACGAUGACUGCUUGGUGUGACGGGUACCCAAUCCCGCCGUGCCGUAGCUAACGCGUUAAGCAGUCCGCCUGGGGAGUACGGUCGCAAGGCUG